rnacentral:lncRNA from 1 species
CUCUCUCUGGAUUUCUUCCCGAUCUCGGAGGCCGACGAAGAACCCUCCACCACCGGCCAUGGCUCCGCUACCUCCCUCGACGAUCGCCUCCAAGUCUCGCGGUGCUCCUCUUGAGAAGUAGCGCGCCGGAUCCGGCAUCCUCAUGAUCGGAGACUCUCUCUCUCCCAAUCAACUCUAGAAGACGGAACAACUGUUGAUCGAAGAACUCGUGGUGCGAAACUCGAAAUCGCACCAAGCUAUCGGAGAUAUCAGUUCGGUUCCGAGGAUAGGGAUCCGAAGGCGGUGACAUCGG